rnacentral:lncRNA from 1 species
GCACCACCAGCUAGGGACCAAGAGUUGAACUUUUCACACUCGGACCACUGUAGCAAUCCAACCACAUGAUCUAACAAUGACGUAGGUGUGUAGUGGGAAGGGGAUUCAUAAUCCAGAAUGGCCUCACAUCGUCCUCGGUUUGCCAGAUAUCCAGCUUUACUGUUCAAAAUGCCCAAUGUUUAAGAGCUGGUACUGCACACCAUGCUGACCCACUCCUGAUGGCGGACUCGAGAUUGUGGACUCCUAGGUCAAGUCCAGCCCACAGGAGUGCUCAGAUUUGAAUGGAUACUAAGAUUGAACAUCAUUGACACCUGAAUUCAUAAACCCUUUGCGGCCAGGGAAGAGUUGUACGAUUAGAUUAUAAAACUUUGGG